rnacentral:ncRNA from 2 species
AGUUAUUAAGGUACGGAUCCUUACCCCAUUCUUUAUUGCUUCAUAUUCAAAUUAUUAUAAAACCACUAAAUUACUAUAUCUGUUAAAAACUCUUCACGUUCGGAUUGCAGGCUGCAACUCGCCUGCAUGAAGCCGGAAUCGCUAGUAAUCGCCGGUCAGCCAUACGGCGGUGAAUCC